AACGAACGCUGGCGGUAUGCCUAACACAUGCAAGUCGAACGAGACCUUCGGGUCUAGUGGCGCACGGGUGCGUAACGCGUGGGAACCUGCCCUUAGGUUCGGAACAACUCCCCGAAAGGGGUGCUAAUACCGGAUAAUGUCUUCGGACCAAAGAUUUAUCGCCUUUGGAUGGGCCCGCGUUGGAUUAGCUAGUUGGUAGGGUAAAAGCCUACCAAGGCGACGAUCCAUAGCUGGUCUGAGAGGAUGAUCAGCCACACUGGGACUGAGACACGGCCCAGACUCCUACGGGAGGCAGCAGUGGGGAAUAUUGGACAAUGGGCGAAAGCCUGAUCCAGCAAUGCCGCGUGAGUGAUGAAGGCCUUAGGGUUGUAAAGCUCUUUUACCCGGGAUGAUAAUGACAGUACCGGGAGAAUAAGCUCCGGCUAACUCCGUG
rnacentral:rRNA from 1 species